rnacentral:rRNA from 1 species
GAUGAACGCUAGCUACAGGCUUAACACAUGCAAGUCGAGGGGUAACGAGAGGAAAGCUUGCUUUCCUUGUCGACGACCGGCGCACGGGUGAGUAACGCGUAUCCAACCUGCCCCCAACUAGGGAAUAACCUUGCGAAAGUAAGACUAAUACCCUAUAAUUUCCUCAGAUGUCAUCCGACGAGGAAUAAAGAUUUAUCGGUUGUGGAUGGGGAUGCGUCCGAUUAGCUUGUUGGCGGGGUAGCGGCCCACCAAGGCAACGAUAAGUCGGGGUUUUGAGAGGAAGGACCCCCACAUUGGAGCUGAGACACGGUCCAAACUCCUACGGGAGGAAGCAGUGAGGAAUAUUGGUCGAUGGGCGGAAGUCUGAACCAGCCAAGUAGCGUGCAGGAUGACGGCCCUAUGGGUUGUAAACUGCUUUAUACAGGAAUAAAGUUAGCCACGUGUGGUUAUUUGUAGGUACUGUAUGAAUAAGGACCGGCGAAUUCCGUGCCAGCCGCCGCCGUAA